AGAGUUUGAUCAUGGCUCAGGACGAACGCUGACGGUGUGCUUUAGACAUGCAAGUCGAACGAGAAAGCCCUUCGGGGUGAGUACAGUGGCGAACGGGUGAGUAAUACGUGGGCAAUCUGCCCCUCGCAGGGGGAUAACCGGGGGAAACCCCGGCUAAUACCCCGUAAGCUUGUGGAGUCGCAUGGCUCUGUAAGGAAAGGUAGCUUCGGCCAUCCGGCGAGGGAUGAGCCCGCGGUACAUUAGCUAGUUGGUGAGGUAACGGCUCACCAAGGCGACGAUGUAUAGCUGGUCUGAGAGGAUGAUCAGCCACACUGGGACUGAGACACGGCCCAGACUCCUACGGGAGGCAGCAGUCGGGAAUCUUGCGCAAUGGGCGAAAGCCUGACGCAGCAACACCGUGUGAGCGACGAAGGCCUUCGGGUCGUAAAGCUCUGUUGUUGGGGACGAAGGGUUAGGGGUUAAUAGCCCCGAGCCUGACGGUACCCUUCGAGGAAGCCCCGGCUAACUACGUGCCAGCAGCCGCGGUAAUACGUAGGGGGCGAGCGUUGUCCGGAAUUAUUGGGCGUAAAGAGCGUGUAGGCGGUUCGGUAAGUCUGCCGUGAAAACCCAGGGCUCAACCCUGGGCGUGCGGUGGAUACUGCCGGGCUAGAGGGUGGUAGAGGCGAGUGGAAUUCCCGGUGUAGCGGUGAAAUGCGCAGAUAUCGGGAGGAACACCAGUAGCGAAGGCGGCUCGCUGGGCCAUACCUGACGCUGAGACGCGAAAGCGUGGGGAGCAAACAGGAUUAGAUACCCCGGUAGUCC
rnacentral:rRNA from 1 species